AGCGAACGCUGGCGGCAGGCCUAACACAUGCAAGUCGAACGGAUCCUUCGGGAUUAGUGGCGGACGGGUGAGUAACACGUGGGAACGUGCCCUUUGGUUCGGAACAACUCAGGGAAACUUGAGCUAAUACCGGAUGUGCCCUUCGGGGGAAAGAUUUAUCGCCAUUGGAGCGGCCCGCGUCUGAUUAGCUAGUUGGUGAGGUAAAGGCUCACCAAGGCGACGAUCAGUAGCUGGUCUGAGAGGAUGAUCAGCCACAUUGGGACUGAGACACGGCCCAGACUCCUACGGGAGGCAGCAGUGGGAAUAUUGGACGAAUGGGCGAAAGCCUGAUCCAGCAAUGCCGCGUGAGUGAUG
rnacentral:rRNA from 1 species